AUUCCGGUUGAUCCUGCCGGAGGACAUUGCUAUUGGGAUUCGAUUUAGCCAUGCUAGUCGAACGAGUUCAGACUCGUGGCGAAUAGCUCAGUAACACGUGGCCAAGCUCCCCUUCAGUCAGCGAUACCCUCGGGAAACUGAGGUUAACAGCUGAUACAAAACGCCAGCUGGAAUGCGGCGUUUCAGAAAGACAUCGCUGAAGGAUGCGGCUGCGGCCGAUUAGGUAGACGGUGGGGUAACGGCCCACCGUGCCAGUAAUCGGUACGGGUGAUGAGAGUCAGAGCCCGGAGACGGAAUCUGAGACAAGAUUCCGGGCCCUACGGGGCGCAGCAGGCGCGAAACCUUUACCCUGCACGGAAGUGCGAUAGGGGAAUCCCAAGUGCGAGGGCAUAUUAGCCCUCGCUUUUCUCGACUGUAAGGUGGUCGACGAAUAAGAGCUGGGCAAGACCGGUGCCAGCCGCCGCGGUAAUACCGGCAGCUCAAGUGAUGCUCCCAUAUUAUUGGGCCUAAAACGUCCGUUUCU
rnacentral:rRNA from 1 species